AUGGGCGACUGGGCGUCAGUGAGAGCGUCCGCCGCAGUGACACGUGACCUCUCUCUGUGUUUUGGGACGUUCCACACGAGGCGGGACGCAGACACGUUCACAGGCGCGAGCAGAUGUUUCUGCUCCGGGAAAACCACACGAAGAAGAAGAAGAAGAAGAAGAAGCCGCAUUGUUUCCGCAGAAGAAGAAGAGCUCAGAGACGUCGGUCCUCUGCAGACAUGGCUAAGGAUGUCCCUGGACUCUGACUGCGUGCUGCUGUCAUUGAGGGGCUCCAGGACGUCCUGCGUCCUCCAAAGCGAGGACGAGAAGGAUGACCCCCCCUGGAGCGGGAGAGGAGAGUGUCCUGGAGAUGCUGAGCUGCUCCAAGUUCUCCGGGCUGGAGACAUGGCUCUGCAUGCCGUCCUCCUUACUGCUGCCCAGCGGCCCGGACCUCACCCCCACCUCCUCCUCUUCACAUGCAUCCAACCAGCCGACCUCCUCUGCCUCAUCCUCCUCAUCCUCAGCCUCCAACUGCCGUCGCUCCACCUGCAGCGAUCCAGGAGAGACGCUCAGGUCGUGGGACGGCGACUCCUCCCUCCCCCCUCCUGCUCUCCUCCCAGUCUCCUCCACCCCCGCUGGACAGUCCUCCUCCCCCCCCUCCUCCUCCUCCGCCGGGGGGGGGCAUCAGGAAGCGUCGGCGCCUUGCUGCCAGUCCCGGAGGACUCCACUGGAACUCUGCAGGUUUGGUGCAACGGGACUGGUCACCUGACCCGUCUCCGGUGUCGGGGGAGAACGCAACAGCAGGACGAGGGGCGAGCCCCCCCCCUGGUGCAGGUAGGCGGGGCCACGUGGGGGGCCGACCGGGCUGCCCUGAGACUCCUGAGUCGGCUGGAGAGAGGCAGGAAGAAGGUCCACGGCAUCCAGAGUCUGGGAACCACUGGCAGAUACGACUCCAGGAGGAAUCGUGAUGCUUCAGCCUCAUGUUUGGUCUCCUCGUCUGAGGAGACGCUGACAGCAUAUCAGACAAGAACAACAACAGCGUGAUGUUCAGAACAUUCAGCAGCAUCCGCGGCUUUAAUAACGCUCCACACACACCGAUGGGCCCAAGGCAGCCAUCAGGAAUAAUGGCCUCCGUCUACGCGUUGCCAUGGCGAUCGGGUGGAGGCGAUGAGCUCGGUGGGAGACUCUGAGGACAACUUCUGGUGUUUGUGGAUCCCAGAGCUGCUGGAGUGGAUUCUGAUAACGCGAAGCUCCAUAUAACAAUAAUCACAAAUGAGUCAACCAUUGGAAUAAAAAACUGUUUUAGUUUCAGCUUCCUCCACUCGUGCUUUUUAGAUUCCUACAGAUAUUUGUGUUAAUUUGAUUUAAUAACUUCUCUAAUGACCAGUGGAGGAUGUAUUUAAACAACUUUAACGUGUCAUCAUCACACAAAUCCGACUGAGCUGUAAACUCUGUAACUGCCUUAAUGUUGAUUUAAAACCGUCUUGUGGUUUAUUCAAUUACAAUAAUGGACUCAAACAUUUAGAUGGACAUUUGUUUAAUUAUCCAUUCAAAUCUUAAAUCAAACACCAUCUAAACAAAGUUAAUAAACUUUGGUACUAACUGUUGUCACAUUCUACCUCCUCUCAUUCUAGUUGGCUUCCUUUCCCCACGUCCUACUUUCUCUCCCGUAUACACACGUACAGACAAGUGCAGUAAAAGACUACACAAUAGUGCAAAAGAUGACAGUUUCAUAAUUUCAGUGCUCCAACUAUUUGAUUUACAUGGAAAUAUGCAGCUAUAUAUGUUUAUAUUUGCAUAUAGAUAUAAAUCUAUUCUAUAUAACGAAUAUAUAAAUCUAUUUCUAUAUAUACAUAGUGCAUAGCUAUAUAAAUCUGUAUGUAUUAAUGUAUACAGGCGUGUUUUACUUUCGUAAAAGGUUCUCCUUCACCUGUUGCUCCUCCACGGUAACCAUGGAAACAGAGCCCAGCCAGCCAUCGCCACAAUUGUUUUAUUUCUCUCACCGCACAGAGAAGCCGUAACUCCUGAUGUUCUCCGUGUGUGGGCGUGUGCGUGUGUGUGUGUGAUGUUCAUCACUGUCGUCACGAUGUACAAACAUCUGGAUUUAUGGAGCUAAUAACACUUCACUUACUUACCUUUAGGGUUACUGAUUUAAAUCGUGUGUAGACAUCGACUACUUCAUACACUAAAUGCACCCUUAUAGACGGCAAAUACUUUUAUACCAUAAAUAAACUUAAAUAUCAUGAAUAUACUUAAAUAACACAAACACACAAACUGCAAAAUUAUCUAGAGUUAAAGUUAUUACAAUCAGCUGCUACUAUAUUUGAAUAAUUGAAUUUGGAUCUUUUCACCAUCUGAUGGUGAUCAAGAUGAUCAGAAGAAACACGUUGCAGCAGAGAAAAUAAAAUGAAUAUAUGAUAUACAGUAAUGAAUAUAUGAUAUACAGUAAUAAUAUAUGAUAUACAGUAAUAAUAUAUGAUAUACAGUAAUGAAUGAAUAUAUGAUAUACAGUAAUGAAUAUAUGAUAUACAGUAAUAAUAUAUGAUAUACAGUAAUGAAUAUAUGAUAUACAGUAAUUAAUAUAAUCUAAUGAAUGUAGUAAAUAUAAUACAUAUAUAAUAGAAUACAAAAAGAUAAAUCAAGUGUUCCAGCUGUGAAACACUGUCACCACCUUAUUUCCAUCUGUUCCAACUCUUGAUUGACACGUGUCUUUUCUCUCUGAAUCUGCCUUAAUUCACAACGUCACCCCGCGGCUGCUGCUCCUCCUCCACCCUUUACACCGCCUGUGUGUGUGUGUGAGAGAUUCAUGCACACACACGUCUCUCCAACAUCCUCUCUCUCCCUCAACCCAGUCUGUGCGUGUGUGUGCGUGUGUGUGUGUGUGUGUGUGCGGGUGUGCGUGUGUGCGUGUGUGUGCGUGUGUGUGCGUGUGUGUGUGCGUGUGUGUCUGUGUGUGUGCGGGUGUGCGUGUGUGCGUGUGUGUGCGGGUGUGUGCGUGUGUGCGUGUGUGUGCGGGUGUGUGCG
ensembl:lncRNA